CAGCAGUAGCCGCGGUAAUACAAAGGGUGCGAGCGUUAAUCGGAUUUACUGGGCGUAAAGCGUGCGUAGGCGGCUUUUUAAGUCGGAUGUGAAAUCCCUGAGCUUAACUUAGGAAUUGCAUUCGAUACUGGGAAGCUAGAGUAUGGGAGAGGAUGGUAGAAUUCCAGGUGUAGCGGUGAAAUGCGUAGAGAUCUGGAGGAAUACCGAUGGCGAAGGCAGCCAUCUGGCCUAAUACUGACGCUGAGGUACGAAAGCAUGGGGAGCAAACAGGAUUAGAGACCCCGGUAGUCCCUGUCUCUUAUAC
rnacentral:rRNA from 1 species